AGAGAAAACGGAAAACAACGAAAAAGGACAUUUGGGAAAAAAAACCGAUUUCGAUUUUCGUUUUUUUGUUGUUUUAGGGCUAGUUGUGGUCUCUUCUUCGACAUUUGUUGUUGUUGUUCUAGUAAUAACGAAAAAGUAACGGUCAUCGAUGAUG
rnacentral:ribozyme from 12 species